rfam:Schistosoma haematobium scaffold15_45, whole genome shotgun sequence.
AUCCAGCUGACGAAUCCCAAAUAGGACGAAACGCAUGUCAAAGUGAAU